GGUGACGGGUAGCCGGCCUGAGAGGGUGGACGGUCACACUGGGACUGAGACACGGCCCAGACUCCUACGGGAGGCAGCAGUGGGGAAUAUUGCACAAUGGGCGGAAGCCUGAUGCAGCGACGCCGCGUGAGGGAUGGAGGGCUUCGGGUUGUGAACCUCUUUCGCCAGUGAAGCAGGCGUGCCUCGUUUGUGGGUGGGUUGAGGGUAGCUGGAUAAGAAGCGCCGGCUAACUACGUGCCAGCAGCCGCGGUAAUACGUAGGGCGCGAGCGUUGUCCGGAAUUAUUGGGCGUAAAGAGCUCGUAGGCGGCUGGUCGCGUCUGUCGUGAAAUCCUCUGGCUUAACUGGGGGCUUGCGGUGGGUACGGGCCGGCUUGAGUGCGGUAGGGGAGACUGGAACUCCUGGUGUAGCGGUGGAAUGCGCAGAUAUCAGGAAGAACACCGGUGGCGAAGGCGGGUCUCUGGGCCGUUACUGACGCUGAGGAGCGAAAGCGUGGGGAGCGAACAGGAUUAGAUACCCUGGUAGUCCACGCCGUAAACGUUGGGCACUAGGUGUGGGGGGGGUUUUCCGGGUCUUCCGCGCCGUAGCUAACGCAUUAAGUGCCCCGCCUGGGGAGUACGGCCGCAAGGCUAAAACUCAAAGGAAUUGACGGGGGCCGGCACAAGCGGCGGAGCAUGCGGAUUAAUUCGAUGCAACGCGAAGAACCUUACCAAGGCUUGACAUGUGCCGGUCUGCUCCGGAGACGGGGUUUCCUCCUUUGUGGGGGCUGGUUCACAGGUGGUGCAUGGUUGUCGUCAGCUCGUGUCGUGAGAUGUUGGGUUAAGUCCCGCAACGAGCGCAAGCCUUGUCUCGUGUUGCCAGCACGUUGUGGUGGGGACUCGCGGGAGACUGCCGGGGUCAACUCGGAGGAAGGUGGGGAUGACGUCAAAUCAUCAUGCCCCUUAUGUCUUGGGCUUCACGCAUGCUACAAUGGCCGGUACAGAGGGCUGCGAUACCGUGAGGUGGAGCGAAUCCCUUAAAGCCGGUCUCAGUUCGGAUCGGUGUCUGCAACUGGACACCGUGAAGUUGGAGUCGCUAGUAAUCGCAGAUCAGCAACGCUGCGGUG
rnacentral:rRNA from 1 species